AUUGAACGCUGGCGGCAUGCUUUACACAUGCCAGUCGAACGGUAACAGGCCGCAAGGUGCUGACGAGUGGCGAACGGGUGAGUAAUGCAUCGGAACGUGCCCAGUCUUGGGGGAUAACUACUCGAAAGAGUAGCUAAUACCGCAUACGAUCUCUGGAUGAAAGCGGGGGACCGUAAGGCCUCGCGCGAAUGGAGCGGCCGAUGUCUGAUUAGGUAGUUGGUGGGGUAAAGGCUCACCAAGCCAACGAUCUGUAGCUGGCCUGAGAGGACGACCAGCCACACUGGGACUGAGACACGGCCCAGACUCCUACGGGAGGCAGCAGUGGGGAAUUUUGGACAAUGGGCGCAAGCCUGAUCCAGCAAUGCCGCGUGCAGGAAGAAGGCCUUCGGGUUGUAAACUGCUUUUGUACGGAACGAAACGGCUCUGGUUAAUACCCGGGGCUAAUGACGGUACCGUAAGAAUAAGCACCGGCUAACUACGUG
rnacentral:rRNA from 1 species